UACGGAGGGUGCAAGCGUUAUCCGGAUUCACUGGGUUUAAAGGGUGCGUAGGUGGGCAGUUAAGUCAGUGGUGAAACCUCCGGGCUCAACCCGGAAACUGCCAUUGAUACUAUCUGUCUUGAAUAUCGUGGAGGUAAGCGGAAUAUGUCAUGUAGCGGUGAAAUGCUUAGAUAUGACAUAGAACACCAAUUGCGAAGGCAGCUUACUACCCGAAUAUUGACACUGAGGCACGAAAGCGUGGGGAUCAAACAGG
rnacentral:rRNA from 1 species